rnacentral:rRNA from 1 species
UACGUAGGUGGCAAGCGUUGUUCGGAUUUACUGGGCGUAAAGGGCGCGUAGGCGGUCAGCACAAGUCAGUUGUGAAAUCUCCGGGCUUAACUCGGAAAGGUCAACUGAUACUGUGCGACUAGAGUGCAGAAGGGGCAACUGGAAUUCUCGGUGUAGCGGUGAAAUGCGUAGAUAUCAGGAGGAACACCGGUGGCGAAGGCGGCUCUCUGGACCGAGACUGACGCUGAGGCGCGAAAGCGUGGGGAGCAAACAGG